rnacentral:rRNA from 1 species
UACGUAGGGUGCAAGCGUUGCCCGGAUUUAUUGGGCGUAAAGGGCGCGUAGGCGGCCGCGCACGUCCGUUGUGAAAUCGCCCGGCUCAACUGGGCGGGGUCGGCGGAUACGGCGUGGCUGGAGCAAGCUAGGGGGCAAUGGAAUUCCCGGUGUAGUGGUGGAAUGCGUAGAGAUCCGGAGGAACACCAGCGGCGAAGGCGGCAUCCUGGACUGGUCCUGACACUCAGGAGCGAAAGCGUGGGGAGCGAUCCGG